rnacentral:rRNA from 1 species
AGAGUUUGAUCAUGGCUCAGAACGAACGUUGGCGGCGUGGAUUAGGCAUGCAAGUCGAACGGAAAGGCCCCGCAAGGGGUACUCGAGUGGCGAAAGGGGCAGUAAUGCGUGGGUAACCUACCCCGGGGACGGGGACACUGAGGUAAUACUCGUCAAUUCCCGGCGAUGUAACGCGGUCGCAUGGCCGAGUUAUGAAAUGAAUUUCGCCUCGGGAGGGGCUCACGUGGUAUUAGCUAGUUGGUAGGGUAACGGCCUACCAAGGCAAAGAUGCCUAGCAGGCGUGAGAGCGUGACCUGCGCCACUGGCACUGAGACACUGGCCAGACUCCUACGGGAGGCUGCAGUCGAGGAUCUUCGGCAAUGGGCGAAAGCCUGACCGAGCGACGCCGCGUGCGCGAUGAAGGCCUUCGGGUUGUAAAGCGCCGUCGAGGGGGAGGAAGCCGAAAGGUUGACCUAUCCCUGGAGGAAGCACGGGCUAAGUUCGUGCCAGCAGCCGCGGUAAGACGAACCGUGCGAACGUUGUUCGGAAUCACUGGGCUUAAAGGGCGCGUAGGCGGGUGACCAAGUCAGGGGUGAAAUCUUUCGGCUUAACCGGAAAAUAGCCUUUGAUACUGGUUGUCUUGAGGGAGGUAGGGGCAUGUGGAACUUCCGGUGGAGCGGUGAAAUGUGUUGAUAUCGGAAGGAACGCCGGUGGCGAAAGCGACGUGCUGGACCUUUUCUGACGCUGAGGCGCGAAAGCUAGGGUAGCGAACGGGAUUAGAUACCCCCGUAGUCC